AAUAUGUGAUCUGGAAGUGUCUGAGUGCUUUUUCCAACAGGACUCAAAAAUGAUCUCUGUUCUAUUGGAUGCUUAUUUGGUCAAAAGAAGUGUCCUCAUCUUACUUGGGUAUUGCUGAAUAAAGUGUGAGUUUUUUUUUUUAAUAAGCAUUUGGAAGCAUUAAAGUAGCAAUGUUUAGGAAAAUAAAAAUACAGCUGUUACUUAACCACGUAUAUGGAAUACCAAGGUCCAAUAUCUGGAAGUCAGUAGUGUGGCUUUUAAGGAUACAUCCUUUAGGGUAAAAAAGCAUCAGUAUAUAAAUAAGGAAGAAUAAACAGGAUGCUCAUGCAGCUUUCUUUCAGUGGUAAGUAACAAGAAAUAAUCUGUGUAUCCAUCAGUAGAAGAAUGUUUGAAAAAGUUUGUAUAUUCGAGUCUUUGGUAUAAAAGAUGCUAUGAUAGCAUGCUACAUUAAGUAGCAUAAUCCUAUGACCUCAUUUUUUUCCAUGUAUGUAUGGGGUGACAAAGGAACGUUAAAAUUAACUUUGUUUUUUUUUUUUUAAUUAUUUUGACGGCUGUGUAUAUUAUGAGCUAUUUAAGAGAUAGACUAAAAUCAAACAUUAACAUUAUAAUUGAAGUUUUGCUCUCUCUGUCCAUGAUUGCGUCUCACUCUUUGGUCUUCCCGUAAAGUAACUAUUAUUUUUAAUUUAGUGACUAUAUUUACUUUUACCUCCUCCCCCCCCCCCCCCUGCACUGGCUAUGGAACUCAGGGCCUUGUGAUGCUAGGAAAUCACAUGAUGCUACCACUGAACUAUAUCUAUGUCUUCCCCCCCCCAUUUUAAAGAAUUAUUUCUAAUUGUGUAUGUGUUUAGGUAUAUGCACAUGAGUACAGUUGCCAGUGAAAGCCAGAAGAAACCAUAGGAUCCCUUGGAGCUGGAGUUACAGGUGGUUUACCUCUCUGCUCCUGGGUUGUGAAAUUGCUUUCCUCCCUGAUUAUCUGACCCUCUCCAUGUAAGUGGGAUCUGAUGACAAAAGAACUGUGGCUUGGAUAUUGCCUUUUUUUACCAACUGGAAGGUGCAGGCUGGAAUUGAGUCAGUGGGAUGGCUGAAUAUAUUUGAAGGUGGUUGCAGCUACUUCCCCUCUUGAAGCAUAUCUUCUUUGAUCAUGAAAACCUGAGCUGCUGCCCCAGCUGCCAGACCUGCUGCCUCCGGUCCACCAUCAUGGACUAACCUGCUGGAAAUGUCCUUGUCUAGUCUGUCUGCUAUCCAGAUUUAUCCAAACUGCCAUGCAACACAUGAACACUGGCCCUCUGAUGUGUGAAUUCACAUUCCAGCCUUUGAUUCAAAGACUGCUACCUGAUAAUGGUGUCUAAGUUCAGCAAGAAAUGGCUAGAAUGAUCUAAGUGCCACCUAGCCUCUAUCACUACCUGGUUUUCUAUAAAAUUGUCCUUCUGUUCCUUUUACAGAGAAGGAAGGGCUGAAAAUAUUAUGUGAUGUAAGCGAGGAUUGUGUCCAUCUCAGAAAUGGGCCUUCCAGGUGACAAAGCCCUAAACAGAAAGCUGCAGCAAGGCAAGGGCAUACUCAGUAUCCCUGGUGCCUAUGGCCUAGAAACCGCUGGGCACUGGUACACUGCAUAAGUCAUAUACUCACAAGGCUCACUGCCCUAAGGAAUUUUCCAGAUGCUUUUUUUAUCCUGAGAUAUGCUUGAGACUUACGAGGCAUGUGGCUGAGCCCAAACUACAAAGUUUACAGUGCCUUUUAAGCCAAUUUGGUAAUGUCAACCAACUUGGGGCUUUUUUGUGGCACACUUCUCCAUUACCAUAGGACCUUCAAAGAAUGCCCUUUCCUUUCCCUAGGUGGCCUAAAAAGCAUUACCUCAGACCAUACUGCGCCACUGGCUUGAAUAAAGCUUUUGUCUGAAA